AGAACGAACGCUGGCGGCAUGCCUAACACAUGCAAGUCGAACGCUCCUUGGAUUUCGGUCCGGGGGGAGUGGCGCACGGGUGAGUAGCGCGUGGGAACCUGCCCUGUUGUGGGGGAUAACCGAGGGAAACUUCGGCUAAUACCGCAUGCGCCCGGGGAAACCUGGGGAAAGAUUUAUCGCAGCAGGAGGGGCCCGCGUCGGAUUAGCUAGUUGGUGGGGUAACGGCCCACCAAGGCUGUGAUCCGUAGCUGGUCUGAGAGGAUGAUCAGCCACACUGGGACUGAGACACGGCCCAGACUCCUACGGGAGGCAGCAGUGGGAAUAUUGGACAAUGGGCGCAAGCCUGAUCCAGCAAUGCCGCGUGAGUGAUGAAGGCCUUAGGGUUGUAAACCUCUUUCAGCAGGGACGAAGCGAGAGUGACGGUACCUGCAGAAGAGCGCCGGCCAACUACGUGCCAGCAGCCGC
rnacentral:rRNA from 1 species